rnacentral:tRNA from 1 species
GCCUGGGUGGCUCAGUGGUUGAGUGUCUGUCUUUGGCUCAGGUCGUGAUCCCAGAGUCCCUGGGAUCAAGUCCCACAUCAGGCU